GGAUUGACACGUCGGUCGUGCCUUAAGGGGUAUGAACUGGCGUAGUCAAUUUCUCACCUUCUGGAGAACCGCGCUGUCCUUAAUUGGGUGACGCGGGGAACCAGGACCUUUACUUUGAAAAAAUUAGAGUGUUCAAAGCGGGCGCAUGCUCGAAUAGAUUAGCAUGGAAUAAUGGAAUAG
rnacentral:rRNA from 1 species